rnacentral:rRNA from 1 species
CCUACGGGAGGCAGCAGUAGGGAAUUUUCGGCAAUGGGCGGAACCCUGACCCAGCCACGCCGCGUGAAGGAUGCAGGCCUUCGUUCUGUAAACCUCUGUUAUCACGGAAGAAAGGCGGCUGGCGUAAAUGACAUCCGAGUGACGGUACUUAAUGAGAACGCCACGGCUCACUACGUGCCAGCAGCCGCGGUAAUCCGUAGGUGGCAAGCGUUAUCCGAAUUUAUUGGGAGUAAAGCGGGAGCAGGCGGCAGCAAAGGUCUGUGGUGAAAGACUGAAGCUAAACUUCGGUAAGGCAUAGAAACCGGGCAGCUAGAGUGCACGAGAGGAUCGUGGAAUUCCAGGUGUAGCGGUGAAAUGCGUAGAUAUAUGGAGGAACACCAGUGGCGAAGGCGACUAUCUGGCACGCAACUGACGCUGAGGCCCGAAAGCGUGGGGAGCAAAUAGGAUUAGAUACCCGAGUAGUC